rnacentral:hammerhead_ribozyme from 1 species
GUCCAGCUGACGAGUCCUAAAUAGGACGAAAUGAGCAACCUGAUGGAU